rnacentral:rRNA from 1 species
GAUGAACGCUGGCGGCGUGCCUAAUACAUGCAAGUCGAGCGAACAGACGAGGAGCUUGCUCCUCUGACGUUAGCGGCGGACGGGUGAGUAACACGUGGAUAACCUACCUAUAAGACUGGGAUAACUUCGGGAAACCGGAGCUAAUACCGGAUAAUAUAUUGAACAGCAUGGUUCAAUAGUGAAAGACGGCUUUGCUGUCACUUAUAGCUGGAUCCGCGCCGCAUUAGCUAGUUGGUAAGGUAACGGCUUACCAAGGCAACGAUGCGUAGCCGACCUGAGAGGGUGAUCGGCCACACUGGAACUGAGACACGGUCCAGACUCCUACGGGAGGCAGCAGUAGGGAAUCUUCCGCAAUGGGCGAAAGCUUGACGGAGCAACGCCGCGUGAGUGAUGAAGGUCUUCGGAUCGUAAAACUCUGUUAUUAGGGAAGAACAAAUGUGUAAGUAACUAUGCACGUCUUGACGGUACCUAAUCAGAAAGCCACGGCUAACUACGUG